AACGAACGCUGGCGGCAGGCCUAAAACAUGCAAGUUGAACGGCAUCAGCAAUGAUGUAGUAGCGCACGGGUGAGUAAUGCAUGGGAACAUGUCCUUUAGUGGGGGAUAUUCUCUGGAAACGGGGAGCAAUACCGCAUAAGCCCUAAGGGGGAAAGAUUUAUCGCUGAAGGAGUGGCCCAUGUUAGAUUAGCUAGUUGGUUAGGUAAAGGCUGACCAAGGCGAUGAUCUAUAGCUGGUUUGAGAGGAUGAUCAGCCACACUGGGACUGAGACACGGCCCAG
rnacentral:rRNA from 1 species